GUGAAUCAAUCUGCCAUGGGGCAAAAAUUCCCUGGGAGUGAGCAGCAAAGCCUGUGAGACUAAAUCUCUUAAAUGAAAUGAAAUCUAUCUUCAAAGGCUACGCAAAAUUUGAAGAAACAGCAGUGGAAAAGAAUGUUAAAUGCCUUCAUGACAGAAGUGAAGAUUGUAUCAGUAAGUCCUUAUUUGUAAGUGUCUUUACAAUGUAUGAUUCAAAAUACAGUGAAUGCUGCUGCCAAGUAACAAGCAACAAAAAUGAAGGAUCACAAAAAAUAUUACAGUAUCUCUUCAUUCACCUUCUACAUCAGGUCUAGCAAUUGUGGGACUUCUGGAUCUCCCUCCAAAUCAAAGUGACAAUGAAAGGUAAACCUUUUGAAUUAAUUUGGGAUAUUGUUAUCCAGGACAAUGCAGCUGAAGAAUUCAUGAAAUAUGCAGG
rnacentral:lncRNA from 1 species